ensembl:lncRNA
UUUCAUUCUUUUUGGAGCCCUCUGAGACACAGUAUAAAAGAGUCCAUCUAUUCUGCUCAACAGAGAAGCCAUAAGAAGAGAAACAGUCCCAGACAUCCUGGGCCAUUUCAGCCACACUAGCUGGAGCUCCAGACAGUUACCACUCCACUAUCUGAUCUAUCCACUCUCCAUGGAUUUUCAAGGAAGAUCAGUGAUGUUGUGAAAAAGGUCUUGACCUUUGAUUGGUACCCUCAGAGAAGACUAUCAGUUCCUACUGCUGAGACUAAGGGCUGAAGUGAGGAUGGCCUCCCCUCUGCUUAAGUCAGGCAAACACUACUGCUGUUCUCUUCCAGGUAUUUGAUCCCUGGGUCGAGGACAUCCCCUGG